rnacentral:lncRNA from 1 species
AAACAAUUUUUCCUUGACCAAAACCUAGUAUUAAUACCACUAGAGUUUAGUUUUAACGUUAAUCGCGACUAAUUAAUAGUCUAGCUAUUAUUACUAUUAUAUAAGCGUUAAAUAACACUCAAUAUAACUCAUAAUAAUAGCCCAAAUAAUUAUUUUAAGGUCCUAAUAAUGUUACUAUAAUUAAAUAAAAGCUAUAUUAAAUAUAGUAUAGGCGUAACUCACUUACAGCGGGUUUUUAUUAAAAACCGGGCUUCGCUGGAGCAGCGUUUCCGAGCCGAAAGCUUUUCUUCUCGGAGCCGUCGGGCGCUCCGGGGCUUUCUUCUCAUGAUAGGGAGGUUCCCUAGACUUGGGAGGGGUUUAGGGAGGUUAGAGAGAAGUUAGAGAGAGAAAGAAA